AGCCAAUGGGCGUAUGGAGGUUGCUUACAGGAAUGUGGGUGAGGAGGAGUCACUAAUUGAAAAACGCCCUCUACCCCACCAGCGCAGGAUGGAGUGUCUUCAAGCUGGAGGGACCACUCAGCAGAUCCCCUCUGCCAUGUUAUGAUGCUGGAAGACCAGACGCUAGUGUGUGUUCACACAGACUUGCCAGCCUCCAAAACUAUCAGCAACAGCUACCCUUUCUCUUUAUAAAUAACCCAGCUGUGGUUUCUGUUGAUACGAUUUCCCCAUUGACAAGGCUCCCUGGUGACAGACAGGCUUUCCCCCCCCCUUCCUGCUACAGAGAUAACUUCAUAAACAGAAAUUUCCUUCCUAGAUGUCAAUCUCUCUUAGGAAAUGAAAAAUUCUGCUCCGGUUUCAGAGUCCUGUGUCUGCAGUUUCUCAAAAAAAUAAAUAAAUAAAAAUC